rnacentral:lncRNA from 1 species
AAGAAGAAUUGAAAAGAAAGAAGAAGAAAAAGAAUCGAAGAAGCAAAGAGGAAUCGAAGAAAAAGAAGAAGAAGAAGAAGAAGAAUCAAAUAAGAAGAAGAAUUAAAGAAGAAAAAAUGAUUGAAAAAGGAAGAACGAUGAACGAUGAAUGCAGAAACCCAGCUAGAUUUUUGCAUUUUUUAUUACUGGACAAAAAGUUUAACGACGGAUUUUAUCCGCUGUUAGUUUUAAAGGGGGAUAAAAUUCGAUGUUAGGUUAACAACGGAUAAAAAUCAACCGUUAGCUUAUUUAUCAUUAUUGAACCUAACAGCGGAUUUUUAUUCGUCGUUAGGAUUUCAAACAGCGGACUAUCCGCUGUUAAAAUAGUUAAAAAAUCGCCGUUAAACAUGCAGUUUCUUGUAAUGACACAUGAACAUCUCGCAUUCGAUCUAAGGCUUCGGCAAGUACUAGUCAUCAAGCUAGUAAUCACGCUUCAAGAGGUAAAUUGUGAUAAACCCUUGUUAUUGAUUUAUAUACAAAUGAGUCGGUCUAGGAUGUUAGAUGUAAUUGUAUUUUUGUUACAAUUUUUUUCAUAUAUAUAUAUAUAUAAGGUAGUUAUAAAUUGUGAUCAACUUAAUUAAUUGUGCAAAUUACCUUAAUGUUAGGAAGGGAGAGGAAGCUCUUGGCAAUAUGAACAACCAGCUUGUCCAUAAACGCGGGAGCAAUGUAGAGCCCAUCAAUGCUGUUAUCCAAGUCAAACCUGUGAAAGCCAAGCAAAUAAAUAUAUCACAAUAGAAAUGGAACACAAAAAUAAAAAAACAGAGCAUUGAGAUCAGAAACAGAGUGCUAUAAAAGG